GUGUACAAGUGCCUUGGAACAGGACGUCGUAGAGGGUGAGAAUCCCGUCUUUGACACGGACCCCCGGCGCUAUGCGAUGCGCUCUCGAAGAGUCGAGUUGUUUGGGAAUGCAGCUCAAAACGGGUGGUAAAUUCCAUCUAAAGCUAAAUAUUGGCGAGAGACCGAUAGCGAACAAGUACCGUGAGGGAAAGAUGAAAAGCACUUUGGAAAGAGAGUAAAACAGUACGUGAAAUUGUUGAAAGGGAAACGCUUGAAGUCAGUCGCGUCUGCCGGAACUCAGCCUUGCUUCUGCUUGGUGCAUUUUCCGGUCCGACGGGCCAGCAUCGGUUUCGGGCGACGGACACUGGCGUGGGGAAGGUGGCAGCUCCGGCUGUGUUAUAGCCCUGCGUCGCAAACGCCGCCUGGGACCGAGGAAUCCGGCGCAAGCCUGGGAUGCUGGCGUAAUGGCUUUAAACGACCCGUCUUGAAACACGGACCAAGGAGUGCUACGUGCUCGCGAGUGUUUGGGUGGAAAACCCGGACGCGCAAUGAAAGUGAAAGUCGAUACCCCUCGCGGGGGCACCGACGCCCGAGCCUGAUGUUUUCGGAAGGCC
rnacentral:rRNA from 1 species